rnacentral:rRNA from 1 species
GAUGAACGCUGGCGGCGUGCCUAAUACAUGUAAGUCGAGCGAACAGACGAGGAGCUUGCUCCUCUGACGUUAGCGGCGGACGGGUGAGUAACACGUGGAUAACCUACCUAUAAGACUGGGAUAACUUCGGGAAACCGGAGCUAAUACCGGAUAAUAUAUUGAACCGCAUGGUUCAAUAGUGAAAGACGGUUUUGCUGUCACUUAUAGAUGGAUCCGCGCCGCAUUAGCUAGUUGGUAAGGUAACGGCUUACCAAGGCGGCGAUGCGUAGCCGACCUGAGAGGGUGAUCGGCCACACUGGAACUGAGACACGGUCCAGACUCCUACGGGAGGCAGCAGUAGGGAAUCUUCCGCAAUGGGCGAAAGCCUGACGGAGCAACGCCGCGUGAGUGAUGAAGGUCUUCGGAUCGUAAAACUCUGUUAUUAGGGAAGAACAAAUGUGUAAGUAACUAUGCACGUCUUGACGGUACCUAAUCAGAAAGCCACGGCUAACUACGUG